UCCAAGAUGGCGGUACAACAGGGCAAAAAGACUAUAGAUUCUAUUACGAAAAUCGGGAUUUUUGCAUUUUUUGCCGUCGCAUUGUUUCGAAACUUAUUCGGUCAAAUUUUAUGGUAAAGAAAAACUUAUCGCGAAGAUUUUGAGCAUAUAUAUGACUAAAUUGGAUGAAAAAUCGCAAAAUUAUCCAGCGAUAAAAGUUCGUGUGAAAUGGUCAGUUGGAGCGUUUUAUUGCCAGAAAUACUGUGCUAUGUUAACAUCUAGCCUCGUGAAUGGUGUUUUAUACUUGCAUCUCUCAUCAUCAUCUGCUCUGUCCUCAUAAUUGUGAAAAAUGAACUGUUAUGUACCCC